GACGAACGCUGGCGGCGUGCUUAACACAUGCAAGUCGAGCGGUAAGGCCCUUUCGGGGGUACGACGAGCGGCGAACGGGUGAGUAACACGUGGGUGACCUGCCCUCAGCUCUGGGAUAAGCCUGGGAAACCGGGUCGUAAUAACUGGAUAUGACUCCAUGACGCAUGUUGUGGGGUGGAAAGCCUUGUGCGGCUGAGGAUGGGCCCGCGGCCUAUCAGCUUGUUGGUGGGGGUGAGGCCUACCAAGGCGACGACGGGUAGCCGGCCUGAGAGGCGACCGGCCACACUGGGACUGAGACACGGCCCAGACUCCUACGGGAGGCAGCAGUGGGGAAUCUUGCGCAAUGGGCGAAAG
rnacentral:rRNA from 1 species